GACGAACGCUGGCGGCGUGCUUAACACAUGCAAGUCGAACGGUAAGGCCCUUCGGGGUACACGAGUGGCGAACGGGUGAGUAACACGUGGGUGAUCCGCCCUGCACUUCGGGAUAAGCCUGGGAAACUGGGUCUAAUACCGGAUAGGACCCUGGGAUGCAUGUCCUGGGGUGGAAAGCUUUUGCGGUGUGGGAAGGAGCCGUGGCCUAUCAGCUGGUUGGUGGGGUGAUGGCCGACCAAAGCGACGGCGGGUAGCCGGCCUGGGAGGGUGAACGGCGACACGGGGACUGAGAUACGGCCGAGACGCCUACGGGAGGCAGGAGUGGGGAAGAUUGCACAAUGGGCGCAAGCCUGAUGCAGCGACGCCGCGUGAGGGAUGACGGCCUUCGGGUUGUAAACCUCUUUCAGCUCCGACGAAGCGCAAGUGACGGUAGGUGCAGAAGAAGGACCGGCCAACUACGUGCCAGCCGCCGCCGUAA
rnacentral:rRNA from 1 species